rfam:Oryza rufipogon genomic scaffold, chr02
AAAAAAAAAAAACCUGGGUUUCCGUGUCCAACGUUUAACCAUCCAUCUUAUUUAAAAAAUUUAUAAAAAGAAUUAAAAAGACAAGUCACGCAUAAUAUAUUAAUCAUGUUUUAUUAUCUAACAACAAUGAAAAUACUAAUUAUAAAAAAUUUCAUAUAUGACGGAUAGUUUAACGUUGGACACGGAAAUCCAUGGUUUGUCUUUUU